AUCAAGCGGAAGAGACCAGCCUCCCCUGGACCCAGCUGUGUGUCCAUGAAGAGUGGCUGGUCUAUGGGUGAACCUCUAAACUUUAGAGAGGGAGACUUUUCUACUGAACAAAGAAACCAACAGGAGACAUCAGAGUCAGAGAGCCUCAGUGGUCAGUCUUCCCAGAGUCAUCAAACAGACCUGGCCUCCAUAUUCAGUUUGCUUGAAGAGAAUAUUAUGACAUUUGUGAAGAACGAG